UGGCUCAGUGGUAGAGUGCUUGCCUUGCAUGCAUGAGGCCCUGGGUUCUAUUCCUGG
rnacentral:tRNA from 1 species